CGCCUUGGAACGCGCUCCGGGGUCAGGCCAGCCGAGCAAGGCGCAGAGAGACAACAUAGGCGGCCCGGAAGGCAAAAGGGCCCGGACGGCCUACACGCGCUACCAGACCCUGGAGCUGGAGAAGGAGUUCCACUUCAACCGUUACCUGACCCGCAGAAGAAGGAUUGAAAUAGCACAUGCUCUUUGCCUCUCCGAGAGACAAAUUAAAAUCUGGUUCCAAAACCGGAGAAUGAAGUGGAAAAAAGAUAAUAAGCUGAAAAGCAUGAGCAUGGCCGCGGCAGGAGGGGCCUUCCGUCCCUGAGUAUCUGAGCGUUUAAAGUACUGAGCAG
rnacentral:sRNA from 1 species